GCUUACGACCACACCGGCCUGAGUACGCCUGAUCUCGUCUGAUCUCGGAAGCUAAGCAGGGUCGGGCCUGGUUAGUACUUGGAUGGGAGACUUCCUGGGAAUAGGUGCUGUAAGCU
ensembl:rRNA 5S_rRNA 5S ribosomal RNA